rnacentral:rRNA from 1 species
UGCCAUCGGAUGUGCCCAGAUGGGAUUAGCUAGUAGGUGGGGUAACGGCUCACCUAGGCGACGAUCCCUAGCUGGUCUGAGAGGAUGACCAGCCACACUGGAACUGAGACACGGUCCAGACUCCUACGGGAGGCAGCAGUGGGGAAUAUUGCACAAUGGGCGCAAGCCUGAUGCAGCCAUGCCGCGUGUAUGAAGGAGGCCUUCGGGUUGUAAAGUACUUUCAGCGGGGAGGAAGGGAGUAAAGUUAAUACCUUUGCUCAUUGACGUUACCCGCAGAAGAAGCACCGGCUAACUCCGUGCCAGCAGCCGCGGUAAUACGGAGGGUGCAAGCGUUAAUCGGAAUUACUGGGCGUAAAGCGCACGCAGGCGGUUUGUUAAGUCAGAUGUGAAAUCCCCGGGCUCAACCUGGGAACUGCAUCUGAUACUGGCAAGCUUGAGUCUCGUAGAGGGGGGUAGAAUUCCAGGUGUAGCGGUGAAAUGCGUAGAGAUCUGGAGGAAUACCGGUGGCGAAGGCGGCCCCCUGGACGAAGACUGACGCCCAGGUGCGAAAGCGUGGGGAGCAAACAGGAUUAAAUACCCUGGUAGUCCACGCCGUAAACGAUGUCUACUUGGAGGUUGUGCCCUUGAGGCGUGGCUUCCGGAGCUAACGCGUUAAGUCGACCGCCUGGGGAGUACGGCCGCAAGGUUAAAACUCAAAUGAAUUGACGGGGGCCCGCACAAGCGGUGGAGCAUGUGGUUUAAUUCGAUGCAACGCGAAGAACCUUACCUGGUCUUGACAUCCACGGAAGUUUUCAGAGAUGAGAAUGUGCCUUCGGGAACCGUGAGACAGGUGCUGCAUGGCUGUCGUCAGCUCGUGUUGUGAAAUGUUGGGUUAAGUCCCGCAACGAGCGCAACCCUUAUCCUUUGUUGCCAGCGGUCCGGCCGGGAACUCAAAGGAGACUGCCAGUGAUAAACUGGAGGAAGGUGGGGAUGACGUCAAGUCAUCAUGGCCCUUACGACCAGGGCUACACACGUGCUACAAUGGCGCAUACAAAGAGAAGCGACCUCGCGAGAGCAAGCGGACCUCAUAAAGUGCGUCGUAGUCCGGAUUGGAGUCUGCAACUCGACUCCAUGAAAGUCGGAAUCGCUAGUAAUCGUGGAUCAGAAUGCCACGGUGAAUACGUUCCCGGGCCU